GAUGAACGCUGGCGGCGUGCCUAAUACAUGCAAGUCGAGCGAACAGACGAGGAGCUUGCUCCUCUGACGUUAGCGGCGGACGGGUGAGUAACACGUGGAUAACCUACCUAUAAGACUGGGAUAACUUCGGGAAACCGGAGCUAAUACCGGAUAAUAUAUUGAACCGCAUGGUUCAAUAGUGAAAGACGGUUUUGCUGUCACUUAUAGAUGGAUCCGCGCCGCAUUAGCUAGUUGGUAAGGUAACGGCUUACCAAGGCAACGAUGCGUAGCCGACCUGAGAGGGUGAUCGGCCACACUGGAACUGAGACACGGUCCAGACUCCUACGGGAGGCAGCAGUAGGGAAUCUUCCGCAAUGGGCGAAAGCCUGACGGAGCAACGCCGCGUGAGUGAUGAAGGUCUUCGGAUCGUAAAACUCUGUUACUAGGGAAGAACAAAUGUGUAAGUAACUAUGCGCGUCUUGACGGUACCUAAUCAGAAAGCCACGGCUAACUACGUG
rnacentral:rRNA from 1 species